UACAAGGCCCGCUCCCUGGCUUUGAUACCAUGCAGAAUUAUCAGAGAGAUAGACCGAGAGCCCACUUCCAACAAUCUUGAUAUUGUCCCCAAUUCGUUAAUUACCAUGUGCACAAUCCAUCAUGUGUGGGGCUUAUACCACAUAAGGCCUUAGUGUUAGUUGGAGUGGAGUUGACAUAUUUAAACUAUAAUUUCUCUUUUCUGUAUAGUCGAUGUGGGACUCAACAACAAUUGGACAUCGAUAAUGAAAUGAGUUAGAGCCUGUAUUCGGACUGAUACGGUGAUGUCAAGUUUGAAUGAAAAUACAUAUACCAUAAUUUCAUCUUCGUUAAAGCCAAUGCAGAGUAAAGUGAAUGCAUGAUAAGAAAUUCAAAUUAAAGAGGAACACAACAAUGAUAGCAUACGGGCGAUAUUCGUUAUCCGUAUCAUUUAUUUUCCUUUCUUCAAAUUUCUCUCCUUUUUAUUUUAGUAAUCAUAGAUACAUUUUUUUUGGUAUGCAAUUACUUUCAAAUUUUAAUACAUUAUUCACAUAUCUUUUUCUAGAUAUUUAAUGAUUGGGAAGUAACAAGGAAUGCAACAUCCCUAUAUAACAUGACCCAAAAGUUCAUCGUCGAUACUUGCAUAAGAAGCUGAACUCCAACAGAGGCCAAUGCUCUUUGGCAACAAACAAGGUCAUCUUGGUUCUGUAUGAGGAUUCUGGUGACCAAAUUGCCCCUCACAUUGCAAAAUGUAAGCUCAUAAUACGAUAUCAUAUGAAUCUACACACUAUCCUAGAGCUACCGUGUGAUUAGAAUUCUUGACGGUGGCGUUGAAAGCUUUUUCAAACGAAACUUUGAUUUGUGCUACAUUUGCUGCUGCUAAUUUAAGAAUGGCUAUAUCCAGAUCAUAGAGGUUAGUUGCCGAUCUAAUUGGAAUAUCUUUCCAAAGAGAUCUUAUGCACUGCUUAUAGUUGUAGCCCAAUUGGCCUUGGGUUUGCUUGCAAACACUGCAUAACUGAUUAGGGAGGCCAUUGCACAUGAUGUAUGUUUUUAAAAUGAAGCUAACGUGAUUACAAAUUAUUUGCUUGGGUGAAGAAAUGAAUGAAUAGAGUUUGAUAUAUGUUGGAACCAAAUCUACACACCUUCGUAAGCGGUUGUUGAGCACAAAAAUCUGUAUAGUCUGGAACAACCUAUAGAACAAUGAACAACAGUAAGCUAACCUUUGGUUGAAGGGGGUGUGUCGGGCAAAUGCUCUUCGACGAUCAAGUUAGUGAAUGAUUUGAGACUCAAGCAGUAAGCAAGAGAAUUCAAGUAUAUAGAUUGUGUUUCCAUAGAUGAACCCUAUAUGGGUGUAUUUAUACCAUGUGAGAUAGAACUUUUUAGGAUAGAAUCCUUAUUCUAAGACAGGAUAAUCUGAGAGGAUAUCUAGUAAGUAGAUAUUGCAUCCUCUUGGGAGUAUGAUUACUUACGGCGCAU
rnacentral:lncRNA from 1 species